GCUUGUCUCAAAGAUUAAGCCAUGCAUGUCUAAGUAUAAACAACUUUAUACUGUAAAACUGCGAACGGCUCAUUAUAUCAGCAAUUAUUUAUUUGAUGGUCUCUUACUACAUGGAUAACUGUGGUAAUUCUAGAGCUAAUACAUGCGUAAAAUCCCGACUCUCGCGGGGAGGGAUGUAUUUAUUAGAUAAAAAACCAAUGCGGGGCAACCCGGUUUUGUGGUGAAUCAUAGUAACUUUUCGGAUCGCAUAGCUUCACGCUGGCGAUAGUUCAUUCAAAUUUCUGCCCUAUCAGCUUUCGACGGUAGUGUAGUGGACUACCGUGGCGUUAACGGGUGACGGAGAAUUAGGGUUCGAUUCCGGAGAGGGAGCCUGAGAAACGGCUACCACAUCCAAGGAAGGCAGCAGG
rnacentral:rRNA from 1 species